AUGUUCAGGACUGCAAGUUCAGUGUUUGAGAGAGGAAAAGGUGUUGCAACUAAGGAGGUGCAGAUUUCAGGUGACUCAUACAGUGACAAUGAUAGUGACUAUGUUGUGCCUCCUGCAGAGAGCAAUAGUUCUGCCGAAGAUGAAGAAAUUAAGGAGUACAGAAGGUAUGCUAAAGAAUUCAAGUUGAAAAAGAGAAAGAAGAUGCUAGGGGAGGAAGAAGCAAGAGCUUGCAAUGUUCCUGAUGAGUUCAUUUUACCAGAAACAUGUAAGCUGGAUGAUGAUGCAGAUGAUACUCCGUAUUUUGAAAGUGAUGAUGAUCUCUCUUACGAUGAGGCUAGUGAUGGAGAGGUCAAUGAUGUCAGAAGGAGAAAGACCAACCAUAAGGUGUAUGAUGACACUUCAGAAGCACCCCAGUUUGAGGUUGGCAUGGCUUUUACAGAUAGCAGGCAAUUAAAAAAUGCACUAGUUAAAUAUGGUCUGAAGAAUUUCCAUCAUUUGAUAUUUCCCAAAGAUGAGAGAAGAGAGUGA
rnacentral:rRNA from 1 species